UAUCCGGACACCUUGUCUCCGCACACGGGACACAUCUCGUCCAAGUCUUCGUCGUAGGAAUAGUCCAUCAUUUUAAACUGGGGAGCUGCAAAAAAAGCACAAACAGCAUAAGAACGGGGUCACAGUGUAUCAAUCAGUGGUUUUCAGCAAGCCCAAAAGGCCAACAAUGACCCAGGAGGACGAGUGGCCCAGUAAACACAGGCCUGUUGACUGAGGCGAGAGGACCUAACGACCCUGCCGUCACUGGCCCACGCAGCGGCUGCAAUACCAACAGAGCGUGGCUGUCUUGACUACCAUAAGUGGAUGUGCACUGAUAACAGAAGUGUACCUGAGAGCUCUUUGCUUACCCCCGAGAUUACUGGCCCAGCAGGGCUCAAAGCCAGGGGAUUUGUCAACUUAACCCUGUCUCCUCUCUCUUUUUUUCUUUCUUCCUCCAAGCUCGUUUUACGACACUGUGUGGAGCACAGAGCCCUUUACUGCUGAAUAAACCAUGGCUGAGCCUAACACAGGAGGGGUCAAGGUUUCAAUCUCAGAGGAGAGGGCUUCAGGAGCUGAUGAAACAGGGAUUAUGUACUGUUAGUGUCGUUUGCAUUCAUUUAUUCACACGCGGGGCAAGAUUUAUGUGGACUUUUAUAUCAGACCUGAUGUUUCAAUAAAAUACAUUUGCAGUGUGUCACCGUUUACGGUUCAUCACAUUUGAGGGUAAUGACCUUGCCUUCUUUAUAAGCACUGUCCUUUGUUACAUCUUUAGUGUUAUUUUACUUUCCAUUAGAUAAAAAGUGCAGUAGAUAAAAUGUAGAGGUGUAACAAGUCACAUAUUGGGUAAUUCUAUUCUAUGCAGUGCAGCUCAAUUUGUUGUGUUUUUUUCCAUACAGCUAAAAAUAAAAAGUGAAAGAAAAUC